UACGAAGGGGGCUAGCGUUGUUCGGAAUUACUGGGCGUAAAGGGCGCGUAGGCGGCCUGUUAAGUCGAACGUGAAAUCCCCGGGCUCAACCCGGGAACUGCGUCCGAUACUGGCAGGCUUGAAUCCGGGAGAGGGAUGCGGAAUUCCAGGUGUAGCGGUGAAAUGCGUAGAUAUCUGGAGGAACACCGGUGGCGAAGGCGGCAUCCUGGACCGGCAUUGACGCUGAGGCGCGAAAGCCAGGGGAGCAAAGCGGG
rnacentral:rRNA from 1 species